rnacentral:rRNA from 1 species
UACAGAGGUGGCAAGCGUUGUUCGGAAUUACUGGGCGUAAAGGGCGCGUAGGCGGCCCGUCAAGUCCCGUGUGAAAGCCCCCGGCUCAACCGGGGAACGGCGCGGGAAACUAGCAGGCUUGAGUUCGGGAGAGGGAAGCGGAAUUCCGGGUGUAGCGGUGAAAUGCGCAGAUAUCCGAAGGAACACCGGUGGCGAAGGCGGCUUCCUGGACCGACACUGACGCUGAGGCGCGAAAGCUAGGGGAGCAAACGGG